GGGGAUAACCCGGCGAAAGUCGGACUAAUACCGCAUGAAGCAGGGGCCCCGCAUGGGGAUAUUUGCUAAAGAUUCAUCGCUGAUAGAUAGGCAUGCGUUCCAUUAGGCAGUUGGCGGGGUAACGGCCCACCAAACCGACGAUGGAUAGGGGUUCUGAGAGGAAGGUCCCCCACAUUGGUACUGAGACACGGACCAAACUCCUACGGGAGGCAGCAGUGAGGAAUAUUGGUCAAUGGGCGUAAGCCUGAACCAGCCAAGUCGCGUGAGGGAUGAAGGUUCUAUGGAUCGUAAACCU
rnacentral:rRNA from 1 species